GACGAACGCUGGCGGCGUGCUUAACACAUGCAAGUCGAACGGAAAGGCCCUGCUUUUGUGGGGUGCUCGAGUGGCGAAAGGGUGAGUAACACGUGAGUAACCUGCCCUUGACUUUGGGAUAACUUCAGGAAACUGGGGCUAAUACCGGAUAGGAGCUCCUGCUGCAUGGUGGGGGUUGGAAAGUUUCGGCGGUUGGGGAUGGACUCGCGGCUUAUCAGCUUGUUGGUGGGGUAGUGGCUUACCAAGGCUUUGACGGGUAGCCGGCCUGAGAGGGUGACCGGCCACAUUGGGACUGAGAUACGGCCCAGACUCCUACGGGAGGCAGCAGUGGGGAAUAUUGCACAAUGGGCGGAAGCCUGAUGCAGCAACGCCGCGUGCGGGAUGACGGCCUUCAGGUUGUAAACCGCUUUCGCCUGUGACGAAGCGUGAGGGACGGUAAUGGGUAAAGAAACACCGGCUAACUACGU
rnacentral:rRNA from 1 species